UGUUGGUAUCUUAGUGGCGGACGGGUGAGUAACGCGUGGGUAACCUGCCUUACACUGGGGGAUAACACUUAGAAAUAGGUGCUAAUACCGCAUAACAGGGAAAGAUGCAUGUCUUUUCCUUAAAAACUCCGGUGGUGUAAGAUGGACCCGCGUCUGAUUAGCUUGUUGGCGGGGUAACGGCCCACCAAGGCGACGAUCAGUAGCCGGCCUGAGAGGGUGAACGGCCACAUUGGGACUGAGACACGGCCCAAACUCCUACGGAAGGCAGCAG
rnacentral:rRNA from 1 species